rnacentral:rRNA from 1 species
UACGGAGGGUGCAAGCGUUACCCGGAAUCACUGGGCGUAAAGGGCGUGUAGGCGGACUGUUAAGUCUGGCUUUAAAGACCGAGGCUCAACCUCGGGAAUGGGCUGGAUACUGGGAGUCUAGACCUCUGGAGAGGUACUCGGAAUUUCUGGUGUAGCGGUGGAAUGCGUAGAUACCAGAAGGAACACCGAUGGCGAAGGCAAUCCCCUGGGCCUGCACUGACGCUCAUGCACGAAAGCGUGGGGAGCAAACAGG